rnacentral:rRNA from 1 species
UACGUAGGUGACAAGCGUUGUCCGGAUUUACUGGGCGUAAAGAGCGCGCAGGCGGUCGUUCAAGUCGAGUGUGAAAGCCCCCGGCUCAACUGGGGAGGGUCACUCGAUACUGAUCGACUCGAAGGCAGGAGAGGGUAGUGGAAUUCCCGGUGUAGUGGUGAAAUGCGUAGAUAUCGGGAGGAACACCGGUGGCGAAGGCGGCUUCCUGGACCGACACUGACGCUGAGGCGCGAAAGCUAGGGGAGCAAACGGG